UACGGGAAGGCAGCAGUGGGGAAUAUUGCACAAUGGGCGAAAGCCUGAUGCAGCUAUGCCGCGUGUAUGAAGAAGGCCUUAGGGUUGUAAAGUACUUUCAUCGGGGAGGAAAAAACAAAACUAAUAAUUUUAUUUCUUGACGUUACCCGAAAAAGAAGCACCGGCUAACUCCGUGCCAGCAGCCGCGGUAAUACGGAGGGUGCUAGCGUUAAUCAGAAUUACUGGGCGUAAAGAGCACGUAGGUGGUUUUUUUAAGUCAGAUGUGAAAUCCCUGGGCUUAACCUGGAACUGCAUUUUGAAACUGAAAUACUAGAGUAUCGUAGAGGGAGGUAGAAUUCUAGGUGUAGCGGUGAAAUGCGUAGAUAUCUGGAGGAAUACCUGUGGCGAAAGCGGCCUCCUAAACGAAUACUGACACUGAGGUGCGAAAGCGU
rnacentral:rRNA from 1 species